rnacentral:lncRNA from 1 species
AGUUUCUGCAUUUUUUCGAAAUGUUCAAGAGAUCAGAGCCGAAGAGCUCUUGCCAACGGAAGUAAUGGACAAGCUAAGUCAGGAAUUUUUUUGUUGUUGUUUUUU